CAGUGGCACACUGUGCAUCCUCUCAAAUGAUUAUACUGCAUUGGACGAACUGCAGAGCAGACAAAUGUUCCAUCUGCUUACCCAUCAGAUGCCAGCUGCGCUUAAAGUUUCUGGUGGAAGCAGCAUGAACUGAACUGUCCAGAUGUGCUGUAAAUUCAGUGAUGAAGCAUUUCUUGUGCAGUACAUCAACAGGAGAGAACCCGAUUUAAUUUUUUUUGUCAACAAGAUAUUAUAUGCACCAAUAUGUUUUAUUCCCCAAAUUUGAAGUUUUCGUAUUGUAAAGUACUUUUUUAUUGGUGUAUUUUGAGAACUAAUAGCUUCUUGACUUGUAUAGUGAGGCAUUUCACUCCCUAGACCUGACUUAAGUGGUCACAAAAGGUUUAGGAAAUGUAUGAACACAAGUUGUACUGCUGGCAAACUGACCACAAGGGGGCGCAUACACCACAGAUAUAGACUGUCAUAGAA